rnacentral:lncRNA from 1 species
AUGAACUGGAUUCUGCGACAGCUGCCCUCUUGGGGGAGGGGUUCUUCCUUCACGGGAUCCGGGCCUGAAUGCGGGGUACACAGGUUUCGGGCGCCUCACGUUGACCGGCUCCCAGGGACGCUUCAUCUUUUAGCCUUGGAGCUCUGGUUACACUUUCUCUUCCGCUCGCCGGGGCGGCCGACUUCUGAAGGUGGCGGAGUCACCGGGGCGCCACAGCACGUGCGGCCCAGACGGAGGAGGCCGGAAGAGAAGACACUUCCGCUCUCUGAACACGGCUUUUCUCGGCUUUUCUCGACUAAGUUCGCCAGCGCGUUAGGGGACUGGCCCAGUUGGCGGCGUGAAACUACCAAUGGGCGUGAGACUAAGUGUAAGGCUGAGAAUGGUGUCAUGGAACAAAGAAUAAUCACCAUUUCUUAAAAGGCUGAGGUCUAAAGUGAACACAGGUAUGUACGGAUCUGUUACUUUCUACCUCUCCCUGGUCUGUAGACUGUAGACUGCUAUAGGUAGAUGGAAGGCAGUAAGGAUUGUGUUUAGGAGAAAUCUAUUCCUGGUGGCUUUACUGGAAGGGAGUUAUUGUUCUUAUACACCAAAUCUGGAAGUAGUCAGUCCACGGAUAGCAUUUGGGCUUUCUAUCUUCCAUUUGACCAUCUUUGGCGUGAGCUUCCCUCCACAUGGUCAUAAGAUGGCUACCAAGCCUCCGAGUGUUGCCUUCAAGUUCCAGGCAGGAUGGUUAAGAGCAGAAGGUAAAAGACACACGUCAACUGAGUUUAUUUCCUUCCCCAAAGCUUAUUAUCUCAUCGUCCAGAACUGAGUCACGUGGCCUCCCAAGGAACAAGGGGGCUGCUACUCCAAAUAAAGUUGGGGUCAUUAAUAGGGAAAACA